CUCCUUGUCCUCUUCCUCAACGUCUCUCUCCGCAUUAAUGUCGCAUCAGCACGCGGUUGGCCCCUUUCCCCUUUCAGAAUGGGCCGAAAAUCUCAAGAAAAGGUGUUUAGCCGGAAGGGUGAAAGAUUUUUGGGAUUUUGAAUUUUCGAAUGAGCUUUGUUGAUUUGGAUUUCAGCCUCUUUCCCCCCAAAAAAUCGAACCCUAUCUCCUUCUAUAUAUUCCUUUUUUUUGUUUCAG
rnacentral:lncRNA from 1 species